GGCGUAAAGAGUACGUAUGCGGUUUUUUAAGUCAGAGGUGAAAUCCCGGAGCUCAACUCCGGAACUGCCUUUGAAACUGGAAAGCUAGAAUCAUGGAGAGGUUAGUGGAAUUCCGAGUGUAGAGGUGAAAUUCGUAGAUAUUCGGAAGAACACCAGUGGCGAAGGCGACUGACUGGACUGGUAUUGACGCUGAGGUGCGAAAGCGCGGGGAGCAAACAGGAUUAGAUACCCUGGUAGUCCACGCCGUAAACGAUGAUAACUAGCUGUCAGGGUUCACAGAACUUUGGUGGCGCAGCUAACGCAUUAAGUUAUCCGCCUGGGGAGUACGGUCGCAAGAUUAAAACUCAAAGGAAUUGACGGGGGCCUGCACAAGCGGUGGAGCAUGUGGUUUAAUUCGAAGCAACGCGCAGAACCUUACCAGCGUUUGACAUGCCUAGUAUGGUUUCCAGAGAUGGAUUCCUUCAGUUCGGCUGGCUAGUGCACAGGUGCUGCAUGGCUGUCGUCAGCUCGUGUCGUGAGAUGUUGGGUUAAGUCCCGCAACGAGCGCAACCCUCGUCUUUAGUUACCAUCAUUUAGUUGGGUACUCUAAAGAAACCGCCGGUGAUAAGCCGGAGGAAGGUGGGGAUGACGUCAAGUCCUCAUGGCCCUUACGCGCUGGGCUACACACGUGCUACAAUGGCGACUACAGUGGGCUGCAAUCCCGCGAGGGUGAGCUAAUCUCCAAAAGUCGUCUCAGUUCGGAUUGUUCUCUGCAACUCGAGAGCAUGAAGGCGGAAUCGCUAGUAAUC
rnacentral:rRNA from 1 species